rnacentral:rRNA from 1 species
UACGGAGGGGGCUAGCGUUGUUCGGAAUUACUGGGCGUAAAGCGCGCGUAGGCGGCCUUGUAAGUUAGAGGUGAAAGCCCGGAGCUCAACUUCGGAAUUGCCUUUAAGACUGCAUCGCUAGAAUCAUGGAGAGGUGAGUGGAAUUCCGAGUGUAGAGGUGAAAUUCGUAGAUAUUCGGAAGAACACCAGUGGCGAAGGCGACUCACUGGACAUGUAUUGACGCUGAGGUGCGAAAGCGUGGGGAGCAAACAGG